rnacentral:rRNA from 1 species
CGGGUGAGUAAUGCCUAGGAAUCUGCCUGGUAGUGGGGGACAACGUUUCGAAAGGAACGCUAAUACCGCAUACGUCCUACGGAGAAAGCAGGGGACCUUCGGGCCUUGCGCUAUCAGAUGAGCCUAGGUCGGAUUAGCUAGUUGGUGAGGUAAUGGCUCACCAAGGCGACGAUCCGUAACUGGUCUGAGAGGAUGAUCAGUCACACUGGAACUGAGACACGGUCCAGACUCCUACGGGAGGCAGCAGCU